UUAGUGGCGAACGGGUGAGUAACACGUGAGUAACCUGCCCUUAACUCUGGGAUAAGCCUGGGAAACUGGGUCUAAUACCGGAUAGGAGCGCCGACCGCAUGGUGGGUGUUGGAAAGAUUUAUCGGUUUUGGAUGGACUCGCGGCCUAUCAGCUUGUUGGUGAGGUAAUGGCUCACCAAGGCGACGACGGGUAGCCGGCCUGAGAGGGUGACCGGCCACACUGGGACUGAGACACGGCCCAGACUCCUACGGGAGGCAGCAGUGGGGAAUAUUGCACAAUGGGCGCAAGCCUGAUGCAGCGACGCCGCGUGAGGGAUGACGGCCUUCGGGUUGUAAACCUCUUUCAGUAGGGAAGAAGCGAAAGUGACGGUACCUGCAGAAGAAGCACCGGCUAACUACGUGCCAGCAGCCGCGGUAAUACGUAGGGUGCGAGCGUUAUCCGGAAUUAUUGGGCGUAAAGAGCUCGUAGGCGGUUUGUCGCGUCUGUCGUGAAAGUCCGGGGCUUAACCCCGGAUCUGCGGUGGGUACGGGCAGACUAGAGUGCAGUAGGGGAGACUGGAAUUCCUGGUGUAGCGGUGGAAUGCGCAGAUAUCAGGAGGAACACCGAUGGCGAAGGCAGGUCUCUGGGCUGUAACUGACGCUGAGGAGCGAAAGCAUGGGGAGCGAACAGGAUUAGAUACCCUGGUAGUCCAUGCCGUAAACGUUGGGCACUAGGUGUGGGGACCAUUCCACGGUUUCCGCGCCGCAGCUAACGCAUUAAGUGCCCCGCCUGGGGAGUACGG
rnacentral:rRNA from 1 species